rnacentral:rRNA from 1 species
UACAGAGGGGGCAAGCGUUGUUCGGAAUUACUGGGCGUAAAGGGCGCGUAGGCGGCCUCUAAGUCGAACGUGAAAUCCCUGGGCUCAACCCAGGAACUGCGUCCGAUACUGGAAGGCUUGAAUCCGGGAGAGGGAUGCGGAAUUCCAGGUGUAGCGGUGAAAUGCGUAGAUAUCUGGAGGAACACCGGUGGCGAAGGUGGCAUCCUGGACCGGCAUUGACGCUGAGGCGCGAAAGCCAGGGGAGCAAAGCGGGG